GGCAGGCAGGAGAGAGAGAGCGCGAGAUGAAAUUGAGACAUGGAAGAAUUUAUUGCCCAGAAAAUUCCAUUCUGCUAUCUGAUUCAAAAAGUCCAGUCCCCCCAGCUUCGGAAAAUCUAUUUUCCACAUUUUAAUACCCUGCAGAACAGUCCUCAUAACUCAUCCGAGUGUGUUAAGCACAGUUUUAUUAGAUCUGAAACAAAUUUUGGUGGGGAGAUACUAUAGGUCAUUAACCAUGGAGUAAUUUUAUCCUUGUUUCCCUAAUGAUGCCAUAAUGGCGAGCGAAUUUCUUAACUAAAGACCAAAGAACAUUUUGAAGGUCAGUUUCAUCUGUGAGCUCCUUCAAGCGCUUCUCAGAGAAGAUUGGAAAACUCGCCGAUUUUUUGAAGAGUCAUUAAUAAUGUGAAAGCUGAAAGCACCCUCCAUUUGCGUUCCUGCUUUUUACCUUUUAAUUUUAUAUCGUCCCCGCUCAGAGCCCCGCUCCCACUCCCUCACCCUCCUCUGGACCUCCCGCCUGCCUACCCACCCCACGCAAGGAACAAGGCUGCCCGGGACUACCAGGUACCAGGCUAGCUGUGAGGGGCACACGUGGGGCGGCAGUAGGGGAGGCAAAAAGAGCCAGAGAAGCCAGGACCCCGCCGAGAUGGGGCGCCUCAGCUGUAAUCCCAGCAUAGGGGGCACUGUGUGAGGGGAUUGUUAUAGGCAUGGCACACACGUGUGUGUGUGCAUGUGUGCAAAUGUGCAGUAUAGGGGACUGGGGUCUCUGGAUUGGGUGCUGGCCAUGCACACACAUGUUAGGGAUGGAUGGGGACCUACUGGUCUCUCUAGUUGAGUGCCCCCUGUUGGAAGCAGGCAGGGAAAGGGAACUGAAAACCAGCCCUGGGUCUGGUGACCUGGGCAGUGGGGCAGUGGGGGGACUUGUGGUGUCUCCCAAGAGAGACGGACACUACAUGGAGGGCAUGAAACAAUUUACAGCAGGUUGUAAGCCCUGAUUACAUGUGUGUGCCAACGAGCAUGUAUGUCCUGGGUGUGGGGAGGUCAUCAAGGCAAGAACCCCGAGGACCUACCCCACUGACAAAUAUUUAGACACUAGAGACAGUGGCCAUUGUCUGCUCAUCCCUCACUCCUUAGACCACACACCCCUUUCUCCCCAGGCCUGGAGCCCCUCAUUUGCCCACUUUACUUGCCUCCUGAUCUCCAAUCCCCGGUUCCUCAGACCUCCUGCCCCCCACCAGUCCUAUCCCUCCCCCUGAACCCUCAUCCCCCUACCUCUUCACCCAUCUGCUGGCAGGCAGUGCAGGGUGCCCAGCCAGGAGCUGGGGUGGGACAGCAUUUCUCUGUGUGUGCAGGUUUGGGGAGGAGGGGGCGGUGUGGUGACACUCCAUGCUCCCAGAUGUGGUGGCAGCGAUAAUUCCAAUUUUAUGCCUUUGUUAUGGCUUUAAUCACUUUCUUUAUGCGUUUUGUUCCAGCGAUCAGGGAGAGACACCUGAUAGGCAAAGAGGAUACCAGGGGAACCAUUUUUAUUUGGAAUGUGGUGAGAAGUCUAAUUAGAAUCUGAAUUCUGCUGAGCCUUGAAAUGGCCAGUACUUUAUCCUGAUCGCCUUAGAUAUUGUUUCGAGUCAAUCAUCUGUCAUGGUGCAGCAGGAGAGCCUCUCCCUUCACACUGCACCCCUCCCGCCACAGGGCCAGCCAGGGCACACGGCGGGAGGGGGGAGGCUUCUGCCCUUGUAGGGGUAUGUGCCUCCUUCUUAGGGGGAGGCCUGUUUGAUGUGGCUAACCCUCCCCUGGUGAAGGCUGUCUUUGCUGGACGCUGAGUUUGAGCUCAUGGGGGGCAGAAGGGGAAGAGGGGCUGCAGGAAGAGGGUGCUGAGGGGCUUGUAUUAGAAUUAGGAGAUAUUGGGGUGAGGCCAAGCUAGUCUGGGGUGCCUCCUAAGUGUUCCCAGUGCAGUGACCACCCCACCUCCUCUCUAUCAAUGGCCCACAGGGACUCUCAUCUCUUUACUGUCCCCAGACAUAUUGUCUCUCUGCCACCUGCUCACUGUUCCUCAAACUCACCACUUUCAUUGCCAACCCCUCCCUGACCCAACGUUUGCUACGCGUUCAGCUCCUUUUCUUUGACUUUCCUCACUCUAGUCCCACCACUGGAAUACUGCUCCGGUUUGUUCUGCCAUCUGUCAAGUCCCCGGACUGGUUCUGCCUCCUCCAGAAAGCCUUCCCUGACUACCUGAACCCAUACAGACACUCAAGACACUGUCCUUUCUACAUCCAGUGGCUGCAGUGGGGGGAGAUGAAAAGGAGGAGAAACUGUUGGAUAAAAAGAAAUUCAAAAAAAAAAACUACAGCACAAAGCUCCAACUCCAGCUCUCCCCUGUUCUCUCCAGUCUCUCAGGAGUCCUCUACCACUCGGAAACUUUCAGCCGUCACCUCCCUGCAGGCAAUGGAAGCACUGAUCUCUAAUUCCAAGCUUCUCUUGAGAUCCAAGCCCACAACCGCAGCAGCGCAAGCCUGACACUUGGACAAGCAGACUCUCGUGUCUCUCCUGAAGCCGGCAACAACCUGUGAGUCCCUGCUUUGCCGACUGCCAUG